rnacentral:rRNA from 1 species
GACGAACGCUGGCGGCGUGCUUAACACAUGCAAGUCGAACGGAAAGACCCUGCUUUUGUGGGGUGCUCGAGUGGCGAACGGGUGAGUAACACGUGAGUAACCUGCCCUUGACUUUGGGAUAACUUCAGGAAACUGGGGCUAAUACCGGAUAGGAGCUCCUGCUGCAUGGUGGGGGUUGGAAAGUUUCGGCGGUUGGGGAUGGACUCGCGGCUUAUCAGCUUGUUGGUGGGGUAGUGGCUUACCAAGGCUUUGACGGGUAGCCGGCCUGAGAGGGUGACCGGCCACAUUGGGACUGAGAUACGGCCCAGACUCCUACGGGAGGCAGCAGUAGGGAAUAUUGCACAAUGGGCGGAAGCCUGAUGCAGCAACGCCGCGUGCGGGAUGACGGCCUUCGGGUUGUAAACCGCUUUCGCCUGUGACGAAGCGUGAGUGACGGUAAUGGGUAAAGAAGCACCGGCUAACUACGUG